rnacentral:rRNA from 1 species
AUUGAACGCUGGCGGCAUGCUUUACACAUGCAGGUCGAGCGGCAGCGCGGGGGCAACCCUGGCGGCGAGCGGCGAACGGGUGAGUAAUGCAUCGGAACGUAUCCUCGAGUGGGGGAUAACCCAGCGAAAGUUGGGCUAAUACCGCAUGAGCUCUGAGGAGGAAAGCGGGGGACCUGCGAGGGCCUCGCGCUGGAGGAGCGGCCGAUGUCCGAUUAGCUAGUUGGUGGGGUAAAGGCUUACCAAGGCGACGAUCGGUAGCUGGUCUGAGAGGAUGAUCAGCCACACUGGGACUGAGACACGGCCCAGACUCCUACGGGAGGCAGCAGUGGGGAAUUUUGGACAAUGGGGGCAACCCUGAUCCAGCCAUGCCGCGUGAGUGAAGAAGGCCUUCGGGUUGUAAAGCUCUUUCGGACGGAACGAAAUGGGCGGGACUAAUACUCCUGUCUGAUGACGGUACCGUAAGAAGAAGCACCGGCUAACUACGUG